AAAAAAAAAAAAAAGAGUGUUACUCAUUUAAAUAAUUUAUUUUUCAAUCAGGAACAUCAGUGUGAUGAUUAAUACCCUGCAUUCGUUUUUUCUUUUUAAGAAACCUGGAACAAAGAGGCUUGUACAGUGUAUAUAUAUAUAUAAUUCAUUUAGGUGUUGAAGUCUGAGUCUACAUUUGUGAGAGGAAAAUUCAAAGGCGCCAUAAUUAAUAUGUCAGUCUAGGAGGAGCAGUGGAUGCGGGGGUGGAAGUUAAUGCAACUACCUGAUGUUCAGGGGAGGAAGGGGGAAAUUAGUCAGUGCGCAAGAAAAGGCCCAGCUUUCCUGUCUUCUUUCUUUGAGUUCAUGCCAAGACAAACAGGUAUAUCCGUGAGUAUCUCCAUCUGGAGGUGUGGAAAGUGUAGGUUAAGUGUAAUGGGCAGCAGUACAUUUUGAGAGGAAGUCUGAAAGGUGUAUUAGCUAGAAAGGCCAAAGUUGUUUUUCUCUGCUAUGCUGCUAUUUUUUUAUAUGAAAUGAAAGAUUGCCUCUGAACACUCCCAUCUUUUACUUUCUCUCUUGAUUAAAGAGAAUUGACAGAUGUCUCCUUUACACUUCCCCUAUUAAUACAACAUGUUAUUCUGAAGAUAGAAAUGCCAUACAAACUUGUAUGCAUCUAGGAAAAAGAAGACAGGCACCAGUUGUUCCAGAGAUGCACUGGAUCCACUAUCACUAUCACAAGAUUUGGAUAUUUUCAUCUAGGGAUAAAUGUUUUCUGGAGUUUUUCUCAGACUGCUCUUCAAGUCCUUCCAAUAACAUUUGGUUGGUUCUGUUCUUUUGAAUGUACAUUGGACCAGUAAGGACUUCCAUUCUAUCACUGUGACAAAACUUGUCGGAACAACCCUAGUAAGAAAGUACCACUUUUUUUUUUUUUCUUAAGUUAUAAUUCUGGAUGAUUGAAGAGUCAUCAUAAGGAUGGGAGGUAUGAUUUUUUCUAUAGGCUCUUUUGCCCAGAGUUUUCUUCUUUGCUCAAAUUUAUUACCGAAUCAUACGAGAGGGGAAAUCUAAAGUUUUCCAGGGGAUACUCUCUGUAUACUUUGUAGGAAAUGAGAAACUUUUAGUUUAAUUAUAGAAACUAAAUGGCCUUUUAACCUAUUAUUUUAGAACUUUGAAGUGAAAGGGAAUGGGUCUAUGAAGGAGAAAGGAUACCGGUCAUAAUGGUCAAAUAUUGGAAAAGGACGUUCAAAAUGAAAUGUGAGGAGGAUCAAAGAAGAGUCAGAACAAAAUCAAAUCAUGUUUCAACUCUAUUAUAAAAGAGUAUUAGUAGAGCCCUCUGCAUUAAGAGGAGAAACGGGAUCUGCUCGGUGCACGAUUUACUUGGGACACAAAUUAGCGAAGAGACAGAAUUCUUGGGGUCUAGGUUUCAUGAUGUGGGGCCCACGGCCUGCUGCACUGCCUGCCACGGAUGUGGCAGUAACAACUGUCAGAGAAGCCGAAGAGAAUGGCUGGGCUUGAUCCUCUUUCAGGAAUCUGUUCUUUCUAUUAAUUUGGUUAAGAUCCCAUGUCCCUCCUCUAGGAUAAUCUCCUUCCCAGUCCAGAACACAAGGCUCCUUGGUUUCUACUCUAUGGAUGGCACCCCCUUGGAGCUGUGCGGUGUGGAGUGCCUGCAGCCUCAUUCACUAGGGCUCUUUCCUCUACCGUGCCUUCAGCAGAGAUCAUUGGACAACUUUGCUGAAGCUAUGAUAAAACUUAAAAACAAAAAACAAAAACAAAACAAAACAAAAAAAAACAACCCAAAACAACAACAACAACAACAACAAACUGCUGUUGCAUUAAGCUCACCAUGCACUUCAGGCCAAACCCUUUAGCAUGGCAGGAAGUUCAAGUCCAAAGCAAUACUCCCAUGGUUUCAUCUGCUGUCAGUCCUCAGGGCUACCCCGCCUACAUCUGUUCACUCAGACUUCAUUGUGCUUAAGCUUCUUGUGCCUAGAGUUGACUCACGUAUUUCUAUAAGCCCGUUUUAAAGUUUCUGGACAAGAAUAAUUACCCACCUCUGUGAAUAUUUAAUGAACUAUCAUUUAUCUGCCUGUAUACCUUUGGAUAUUGGUUACAUUGCUACUGUAAUUAUGUCUGUGGAUGUUGUUCCUAGCAAACAACCCUACUUUCCAGUUGUUUUUUUCUUCACCUUAGAACAUGAGUGGAGUGCACCUCUUUAUAUCUCAAGGUUGGUUCUCCUAUCCAGCGUGGCUGGCACGGAGCCGCUUUUCUCACUGGAAACGUUAGUACAUGAUAUCCAUUCGCCAUGCCUUCUGGGUAGUGGGGUACGGCGUUCUCAGAAAGACAUCAGGAUACUGGAUAACUACCCAUCACUUCACUCUCCCAAAUCUCUCAAGGUCUCCAGUGUUAUAGAACUUGACACAUGCUGGAU
rnacentral:lncRNA from 1 species